rnacentral:siRNA from 1 species
UUAGGAGAUUGUUAAGACCAAAUU